AAUUAUGAUCAUAAUAGCACUAAAGCAUUGGAUCUCAUUAGAAAUCUGAAGUUAAGUGUGCUUGGGCGAGAGUUGUACUUGUUGGGAAAAUCUUUGGGGGCGACAUCA
rnacentral:rRNA from 1 species